rnacentral:rRNA from 1 species
UACGGAGGGUGCUAGCGUUGUUCGGAAUUACUGGGCGUAAAGCGCACGUAGGCGGCUUAGUAAGUUGGGGGUGAAAUCCCGGGGCUCAACCUCGGAACUGCCUUCAAAACUCCUGGGCUUGAGUUCGAGAGAGGUGAGUGGAAUUCCGAGUGUAGAGGUGAAAUUCGUAGAUAUUCGGAGGAACACCAGUGGCGAAGGCGGCUCACUGGCUCGAUACUGACGCUGAGGUGCGAAAGCGUGGGGAGCAAACAGG